UACGAAGGGUGCAAGCGUUACUCGGAAUUACUGGGCGUAAAGCGUGCGUAGGUGGUUUGUUAAGUCUGAUGUUAAAGCCCUGGGCUCAACCUGGGAAUGGCAUUGGAAACUGGCUUACUAGAGUGCGGUAGAGGGUAGCGGAAUUCCCGGUGUAGCAGUGAAAUGCGUAGAUAUCGGGAGGAACAUCCGUGGCGAAGGCGGCUACCUGGACCAGCACUGACACUGAGGCACGACAGCGUGGGGAGCAAACAGG
rnacentral:rRNA from 1 species